rnacentral:rRNA from 1 species
AUUGAACGCUGGCGGCAGGCCUAACACAUGCAAGUCGAGCGAGCGGCGGACGGGUGAGUAAUGCCUGGGAAUUGCCCAGUCGAGGGGGAUAACAGUUGGAAAUGACUGCUAAUACCGCAUACGAUCGGAUUGCCCAGGGGGGAUUAGCUAGUUGGUGAGGUAAUGGCUCACCAAGGCGACGAUCCCUAGCUGGUCUGAGAUGAUGAUCAGCCACACAGGAACUGAAACCAGGUCCUGACUCAUACGGGAGGGCGGAGUGGGGAAUAUUGCACAAUGGGGGAAACCCUGAGGCGGCCAUGCCGAGUGUGUGAAGAAGGCCUUCGGGUUGUAAAGCACUUUCAGCGAGGAGGCGUUACUCGAAGAAGAAGCACCGGCUAACUCCGUGCCAGCAGCCGCGGUAAUAC